UGAUCCGCCAUUCAACUAACAAUCGGGUUCCUACUUACUGCUAAAUUGUCUAGGAGUUUAGAAGCUGGCGAUGAGAGAUGGGCGGGAAGGACGUGUUUGUGUUGAAUUGUCAACAUCCCCCUUAAGUGCUCGCUUGCUCACUUCCUCAUCGCUAGAGUCAAUUAGACUUAUCACGUCCAUCACUGAGCUCAGUCUGUUUCUCUCACUCUCCUUCCUCCCACCCCUCCCGAGGCCAGGAGUCAGCACAGCCUCGAUCACUCCCCCCAUCCAAGAUCACCAGAAUCCCGCAAUCCCUUUGCCUCUUUCCAGCCGAAGAUCCCGGGCUCACCCGAAGACUUACACUGCUGUUCAGCGUGAGGAAGGGAGAGACUGAGUGAGAGACACGAAGGCUGAUCCAGGGAGACUCGGCGAGGCGGGAGGAGUGGGGUGGGGGGGGAGUGAGGCUGGAUCAACAGAUAAAACAUUCCUGGUUUUCCGAAGGGAAGAGGAGAGUCGAGAGUUCGGAGAGUGAGUUUGGGAUAACGAACAAAACAGUCCGUCAGUCUGUCAGAGAGGACAUCCGACGAUGCACCGAGAGAAGGCGGGAGCGAGUGAAUGAA